GUUCUCCACCCAUUGCGGGAGCUUUGUGGCAGUGUCCUGCAUCAUGCUGGCGGGCAGGACGCCGGUGCCCAUCGCUCCGGAGGCCAGAGCGCCAUCCGUGGCUUGUGCAAUGCGCUCCGGCAGGUCCUUCACUUGCGCCAGCGCGUCCUCACGCUGGUAUCCAUUGACAUAUGUGAGGGUUUGCCCCUUCUUGAAGCCCUUGUCGCUCAGGGAUUGCUGCGAGACAAAGCAUGCGACGCGUUAGCAAGCUCCCGCAGGCAGACUCGCUGCGAGAAGCACCGCUGUCUUACCGGCAGGCAAACAGUGUAGCCGGGCAGCUUGGGAAUCGGAGGCGCCCCGCCAGACAUCUUCGGCCGCUGUGUCUAGACUCGCUGGUGCUCGGAGUGACAGGGAAUAAGGCUACUGUAACGUGCAAU
rnacentral:lncRNA from 1 species